AUUGAACGCUGGCGGCAGGCCUAACACAUGCAAGUCGAACGAGUGGCGGACGGGUGAGUAAUGUCUGGGAAACUGCCUGAUGGAGGGGGAUAACUACUGGAAACGGUAGCUAAUACCGCAUACCAUCAGAUGUGCCCAGAUGGGAUUAGCUUGUUGGUGGGGUAACGGCUCACCAAGGCGACGAUCCCUAGCUGGUCUGAGAGGAUGACCAGCCACACGGGAACGGAGACACGGUCCAGUCUCCGGCGGGCGGGAGCAGUGGGGAAUAUUGCACAAUGGCCGCAGGCAUGAUGCAGCCAUGCCGAGUGUAUGAAGAAGGCCAUCGGGUUGUAGAGUACUUUCAGCGGGGAGGCGUUACCCGCAGAAGAAGCACCGGCUAACUCCGUGCCAGCAGCCGCGGUAAUUC
rnacentral:rRNA from 1 species